CAUUGUGUGCCUCAGCAGUCAGCUGCAUAAUUAACAGCUCCGAAUGCUGAUCUACAUCAUCAAGCACGAUGACCUGAAGUUCACAGGUUGUGGCUUCUUUGCUGUAGACCUAUCGACCUUUGCAGCGAUCACCGGAGCGGUCAUCACAUACACUGUUGUCUUGGCCCAUACAAGUGCGAGUUACCUCUGAGACACACGUCUGCCUCCACGCAACAUCGUGGACAUUGAAAGAGCACACGCCGCUUACUGAAGUUAUGCGUAUUUAAGCAAAUCAUCUGUACUCAACUCGGAUGUCAGUACAACAAAGUAAUGUUGAAAUGGUAACGCAUGAAUGUUUGUGAAGCUUUCACGGCGAGAAAUAAAGCGUGGGGAAGUGUGA